UUCCAGGUAAUUCAGAGCUGCGUAACAACCUGGUCUAAACCCUUUCCAGGUGAAUUUGACUGGACCAGCCUGAAAUUAAGAAUAUUUGAACCGAAGACUAGGGACGGAUUAACACAUGUUCCAGGGGACUAGACCACAGGAGGCCCAGCUGAAAUAUCGGUCCUCCUGGAACAUGAUUUUAACUGUGCGGGACAGAGGCUUCGCUGUGCUGCUGUUGUGUGUCACAUGUCAAUUCAAUAUUCAAUAGGUUACGUUUUUUACCACUGAAAAUGAAAAGAAUGUAAUUUUGAUCCAGAUAUAAAGAUCUUCAGUUUGUAGCCAAUUGCCAGCAUUCUCCUGUUGGCUAACUAUGUCAGCAGACUUUAGCUAACUACCACAGUGCAUUCUAGCUAGCGAAUAACUAGUUAGCUCACUAAUGAUGUCUACGUCCUCCUCAUACACAGAUGCAAUCUUGCCCUCACCCACUCUUCCCGAGGACAUUCCCACAGCUUUUCCAGAGGACGUUCCCACAGAUCUUCUCCAAGAUGAAGGAGGUCCUGUUUCCCAAGAAGACUCCUGUGAAGAUGAAACUUAAGUUUGAGUCCGUCUGAACCUCCAGCUCCUGUCACAGCUUCAGUCUGCUCUGGUGAAACGAGGGAUUUCUGACGUGAAGAAAGAGAUGAUGAUGAUGAUGAUGGGGGAACCUAAACUCUCUUCAGAUCAGCUUUGAUAUUAUUCAUUUAAAUGCUGGCGUUUUCUCAAUUCCUCAGUUUUGAUCACAAUAAAGUUGUAUGUGAAAAUUUAAACUACUGAUUC
ensembl:lncRNA